GAUGAACGCUGGCGGCGUGCCUAAUACAUGCAAGUCGAGCGAACAGACGAGGAGCUUGCUCCUCUGACGUUAGCGGCGGACGGGUGAGUAACACGUGGAUAACCUACCUAUAAGACUGGGAUAACUUCGGGAAACCGGAGCUAAUACCGGAUAAUAUAUUGAACCGCAUGGUUCAAUAGUGAAAGACGGUUUUGCUGUCACUUAUAGAUAGAUCCGCGCCGCAUUAGCUAGUUGGUAAGGUAACGGCUUACCAAGGCGACGAUGCGUAGCCGACCUGUGAGGGUGAUCGGCCACACUGGAACUGAGACACGGUCCAGACUCCUACGGGAGGCAGCAGUAGGGAAUCUUCCGCAAUGGGCGAAAGCCUGACGGAGCAACGCCGCGUGAGUGAUGAAGGUCUUCGGAUCGUAAAACUCUGUUAUUAGGGAAGAACAAAUGUGUAAGUAACUAUGCACGUCUUGACGGUACCUAAUCAGAAAGCCACGGCUAACUACGUG
rnacentral:rRNA from 1 species